CACCGCAGCUCCGUCUCUCUGCGGAUCUCAAGCUGCGUAGCCAAGGCAGCCUGGCCACAGCCCUCUCCCCUUCCCCUUCCACACAGACACACGAGCAGACAAAGCCACACGCACCGGGGCGUGUCGGGCUAGUACGGACACACAGUGAACUUCUGAAUCUACCGCGUGGCUCAGUCCUUGCUGACAACCUUUUCUCGUGGAAAGGCGAACUUGGGGAAAGGAACUGGGAAUAAGGCACUGGAAACUGCGACCAACACGGCUACCAAGUACACCCCUGAAACAUGGAAGAUGCCGAAUUUCAGCUGAUUUUGGAUUUUAAACUUUACUGCAGAACUACAAGGAAGUUUUUUUACCUUCCUGCCUCCCAUCUGACACCUUCAGGGAAGGACUUCUACCAGAUCAACACAUCAAAGAGCUACUCAACACAGCUCACAAAGACACUCUCAUGGACCCAGAGGGACAGACUUCCAUCUUCAGCUCCCUCUGUGCAAAAAUGAAAUUUAUUUCCUACCUAUGGGGACUUUUUACCAUCUUGUACCAUCUACACUUUUCCCAGAGCCUGACAAAGGGACUUUGAUCCCGAAAGCUUGCAGAAAAGGACAAUUUUCUUGCCAUUUUCCAGUUGGUCUAAUAAAAGGUAUAAUUUUGGAACCAAAA